AUACUUACCUGGCAGGAGAGACACCAUGAUCAAGAAGGUGGUUCACUCAAGGCGAGACUCAGCCAUUGCACCUGGGCUUUGUUGACCUUUGUGAAUUCCCCAAAUGCGGGAAUCUCAACUGCAUAAUUUAUGGUACUUGGGGACUGCGUUCGCGCUCUCCCCUG